rnacentral:rRNA from 1 species
AACCCAAAAGAUCGAAUGGAGAGAUUCAUCGUCAGCUCAUAAUGUAUAUGUAUGAGUUAUGAUGUGGGUUACUACUUGUAGUAUUGCCUAUACAUACUUGUAUAUUUUUUUGCAUAAUGUUGUCGGCGUGCACUUCUCUCCUAGUAGAACAUCGCGACCCGUUGAGUGUCGGUCUACAGCCUAGGUGAUAGCCUUUAUUAUUUUAUUUAUUUAAAAUUUUAAAGAUCCCUGGUGUUUAAACUUGACUGGCUACUCGGCGGUACUCAUUAUGGUAUUUAGCCGCUAAAAAUAUUAAUUAGCGUUCAUUACCAUCACAAGCGAGGUUAAUUUUCACUAAUAGUACGGACUUAGCGCCGUCGUUGGUAUUGACCAGCUGUUGGUUGUAUGGUUAUCUAGAACUGGCUUUAUUUACCGGUCGGCGAUGCUACUGCUUUGGGUACUUUCAGGACCCGUCUUGAAACACGGACCAAGGAGUCUAACAUGUACGCGAGUCAUUGGGAUUUUUUAACAAAUUAAACCUAAAGGCGUAAUGAAAGUAAAGAUUGACCUUGCGUAAUUUAAGGAGGAUAAAUUAUAUUACGAUAUAAUUUCGCACUCCUGGGGCGUCUCAUUCUUAUUAUAAGAAGAGGCGCACCUAG